rnacentral:rRNA from 2 species
UUGAACUGAAGAGUUUGAUCCUGGCUCAGAUUGAACGCUGGCGGCAUGCCUUACACAUGCAAGUCGAACGGCAGCAC